GAAGAGAAAGAAAAUUCGAUUCCCUUAGUAGCGGCGAGCGAAACGGGAAGAGCCCAAACCAACAAGCUUGCUUGUUGGGGUUGUAGGACACUCUGUACGGAGUUACAAAGGACGACAUUAGACGAAUCAUCUGGAAAGAUGAAUCAAAGAAGGUAAUAAUCCUGUAGUCGAAAAUGUUGUCUCUCUUGAGUGGAUCCUGAGUACGACGGAGCACGUGAAAUUCCGUCGGAAUCUGGGAGGACCAUCUCCUAAGGCUAAAUACUCUCUAGUGACCGAUAGUGAACCAGUACCGUGAGGGAAAGGUGAAAAGCACCCCGGAAGGGGAGUGAAAUAGAACCUGAAACCGUGUGCUUACAAGUAGUCAGAGCCCGUUAAUGGGUGAUGGCGUGCCUUUUGUAGAAUGAACCGGCGAGUUACGAUUUGAUGCAAGGUUAAGCAGUAAAUGUGGAGCCGUAGCGAAAGCGAGUCUGAAUAGGGCGUUUAGUAUUUGGUCGUAGACCCGAAACCAGGUGAUCUACCCUUGGUCAGGUUGAAGUUCAGGUAACACUGAAUGGAGGACCGAACCGACUUACGUUGAAAAGUGAGCGGAUGAACUGAGGGUAGCGGAGAAAUUCCAAUCGAACCUGGAGAUAGCUGGUUCUCUCCGAAAUAGCUUUAGGGCUAGCCUCAAGUGAUGAUUAUUGGAGGUAGAGCACUGUUUGGACGAGGGGCCCCUCUCGGGUUACCGAAUUCAGACAAACUCCGAAUGCCAAUUAAUUUAACUUGGGAGUCAGAACAUGGGUGAUAAGGUCCGUGUUCGAAAGGGAAACAGCCCAGACCACCAGCUAAGGUCCCAAAAUAUAUGUUAAGUGGAAAAGGAUGUGGCGUUGCCCAGACAACUAGGAUGUUGGCUUAGAAGCAGCCAUCAUUUAAAGAGUGCGUAAUAGCUCACUAGUCGAGUGACACUGCGCCGAAAAUGUACCGGGGCUAAACAUAUUACCGAAGCUGUGGAUUGUCCUUUGGACAAUGGUAGGAGAGCGUUCUAAGGGCGUUGAAGCAUGAUCGUAAGGACAUGUGGAGCGCUUAGAAGUGAGAAUGCCGGUGUGAGUAGCGAAAGACGGGUGAGAAUCCCGUCCACCGAUUGACUAAGGUUUCCAGAGGAAGGCUCGUCCGCUCUGGGUUAGUCGGGUCCUAAGCUGAGGCCGACAGGCGUAGGCGAUGGAUAACAGGUUGAUAUUCCUGUACCACCUAUAAUCGUUUUAAUCGAUGGGGGGACGCAGUAGGAUAGGCGAAGCGUGCGAUUGGAUUGCACGUCUAAGCAGUAAGGCUGAGUAUUAGGCAAAUCCGGUACUCGUUAAGGCUGAGCUGUGAUGGGGAGAAGACAUUGUGUCUUCGAGUCGUUGAUUUCACACUGCCGAGAAAAGCCUCUAGAUAGAAAAUAGGUGCCCGUACCGCAAACCGACACAGGUAGUCAAGAUGAGAAUUCUAAGGUGAGCGAGCGAACUCUCGUUAAGGAACUCGGCAAAAUGACCCCGUAACUUCGGGAGAAGGGGUGCUCUUUAGGGUUAACGCCCAGAAGAGCCGCAGUGAAUAGGCCCAAGCGACUGUUUAUCAAAAACACAGGUCUCUGCUAAACCGUAAGGUGAUGUAUAGGGGCUGACGCCUGCCCGGUGCUGGAAGGUUAAGAGGAGUGGUUAGCUUCUGCGAAGCUACGAAUCGAAGCCCCAGUAAACGGCGGCCGUAACUAUAACGGUCCUAAGGUAGCGAAAUUCCUUGUCGGGUAAGUUCCGACCCGCACGAAAGGCGUAACGAUUUGGGCACUGUCUCAACGAGAGACUCGGUGAAAUCAUAGUACCUGUGAAGAUGCAGGUUACCCGCGACAGGACGGAAAGACCCCGUGGAGCUUUACUGUAGCCUGAUAUUGAAAUUCGGCACAGCUUGUACAGGAUAGGUAGGAGCCUUUGAAACGUGAGCGCUAGCUUACGUGGAGGCGCUGGUGGGAUACUACCCUAGCUGUGUUGGCUUUCUAACCCGCACCACUUAUCGUGGUGGGAGACAGUGUCAGGCGGGCAGUUUGACUGGGGCGGUCGCCUCCUAAAAGGUAACGGAGGCGCUCAAAGGUUCCCUCAGAAUGGUUGGAAAUCAUUCAUAGAGUGUAAAGGCAUAAGGGAGCUUGACUGCGAGACCUACAAGUCGAGCAGGGUCGAAAGACGGACUUAGUGAUCCGGUGGUUCCGCAUGGAAGGGCCAUCGCUCAACGGAUAAAAGCUACCCCGGGGAUAACAGGCUUAUCUCCCCCAAGAGUUCACAUCGACGGGGAGGUUUGGCACCUCGAUGUCGGCUCAUCGCAUCCUGGGGCUGUAGUCGGUCCCAAGGGUUGGGCUGUUCGCCCAUUAAAGCGGUACGCGAGCUGGGUUCAGAACGUCGUGAGACAGUUCGGUCCCUAUCCGUCGUGGGCGUAGGAAAUUUGAGAGGAGCUGUCCUUAGUACGAGAGGACCGGGAUGGACAUACCUCUGGUGUACCAGUUGUCGUGCCAACGGCAUAGCUGGGUAGCUAUGUGUGGACGGGAUAAGUGCUGAAAGCAUCUAAGCAUGAAGCCCCCCUCAAGAUGAGAUUUCCCAACUUCGGUUAUAAGAUCCCUCAAAGAUGAUGAGGUUAAUAGGUUCGAGGUGGAAGCAUGGUGACAUGUGGAGCUGACGAAUACUAAUCGAUCGAAGACUUAAUCAA
rnacentral:rRNA from 1 species